rnacentral:rRNA from 1 species
AGAGCGAACGCUGGCGGCAGGCCUAACACAUGCAAGUCGAACGGACCCUUCGGGGUUAGUGGCGGACGGGUGAGUAACACGUGGGAACGUGCCUUUAGGUUCGGAAUAGCUCCUGGAAACGGGUGGUAAUGCCGAAUGUGCCCUUCGGGGGAAAGAUUUAUCGCCUUUAGAGCGGCCCGCGUCUGAUUAGCUUGUUGGUGAGGUAAUGGCUCACCAAGGCUACGAUCAGUAGCUGGUCUGAGAGGAUGACCAGCCACAUUGGGACUGAGACACGGCCCAAACUCCGUACGGGACGGCAGCGAGGUAGGGGAAUCCGUCGGCGACGAAGUCGGGACGAAACGGCCCUAGACGCAGGCCAGUCGCCGCGUGUAUGAUAGGAAGGUUCUUAGGUAUUAGUAAAAUUACUUUAC